rnacentral:miRNA from 1 species
UCCUCCUGCUCUCCUGCUUUCA